GGAAUAUUUAACAAGUGGAGCUAUUGCUUGGAGACAGCAGGCAGUGAACCUUAUGGGCAGCUGGCUUUUCCCUGCCCGUGGUUUCCUACAUGCAUCUCUUGCAUCAGUCCUCCCUCGUAAGCCUCCUUCACGCAGAGUUUCGUGUUGCUCCUUCUUCCCAAAAGCUGCAGGGAUUUUCCGAGUCCCAGUCUCGGACUGGAUUUGUGUCUGCACAGCGCUCAGCCCUCCCUCUAGUGGCUGCCGCACCGAGAUGCCGAGAGGCGAGCCGCAAAUUUCGGCUCGUCUGCGCUCGGGAAUGGGCAGCGGUGCCAAAAUCGGACCAUGCGCCCAUGGGAUGGGAAGCUGGACCCACGGCACGUGCACCGUGCCCUGGCUAUGUCGCAUGGUGUUUGGCCACAUGGAUGCGAUUCCUGAGUUUCUUUGAUUUAUGUGGGAUAUUUGCAGGGCAGGAUUUGUCCUCCCGGGCAGGCAGAUUAGGGUGUGAACGUGAAGAGCUGCAUCAGACUCCCCGUCUGCGACUCGCCACGCGUCUGGCCAAAGGCGCUUCUCCCUUGGGUUUUGUACUGCUAACAUUUUGGUUCAGGCAGGCCAGACAUGCCAGGGUGAAAGCUGGCUUUAUGUUAAAUCUCAUUACAGUUCCUCUGUGUUUCAUCAUCCUGCAGACAACGCUCCUCGCUGCAGCAUCACUCCUUGCAGCUGGAGGAAUUGCAGCGAAAGCCUCCGCGGCUGCUGGGAAGGGCGAGGGGCUGCUGGGACCCCAUCAACACCUCCACCUCCUCGCCUCCGUCCCCGCGGAGCUCCCAACCCAACCGUGUGCGCAUUCUGUCCUCAUCCACGCAGAACAUGUGGCCGUGCUGAUAAAUGCCAGGGAUGAUUUCUGACUGCUGAAAAACUUCCCUUGCGGUUGCCUUUUGUGAUCACGGAUCUCCCUCGGCUGAGGUCUGUUUUAAUUUCGGUCCGAGAGCCGCUCACCUGGCUCGUUACAGGACAACUGUUUGUAGCUCCUGACCAAAUUUCUUCAGCGGUAAUCGGGUUAUUUUGCAUCUCGCUCAGCUUGACCAUUAAAAUCAACUGGAGAGUUUCCCAGUUACGGCUGAUUCUCAGGCAGCGGCACAAAG
rnacentral:lncRNA from 1 species